rnacentral:rRNA from 1 species
UACGGAGGGUGCAAGCGUUAUCCGGAUUCACUGGGUUUAAAGGGUGCGUAGGCGGGCAGGUAAGUCCGUGGUGAAAUCUCUGAGCUUAACUCAGAAACUGCCAUGGAUACUAUUUGUCUUGAAUGUUGUGGAGGUAAGCGGAAUAUGUCAUGUAGCGGUGAAAUGCUUAGAUAUGACAUAGAACACCAAUUGCGAAGGCAGCUCACUACGCGAAUAUUGACACUGAGGCACGGAAGCGUGGGGAUCAAGCAGG